GACGAACGCUGGCGGCGUGCCUAAUACAUGCAAGUAGAACGCAGUUGCGAACGGGUGAGUAACGCGUAGGUAACUGCCUGGUAGCGGGGGAUAACUAUUGGAAACGAUACCUAAUACCGCAUACUACCAGCUGGACAUGCGUUGUAUUGGCUAGUUGGUGAGGUAACCGCGCACCAAGGCAACGAUACAUAGCCGACCUGGGAGGGUGGUGGGGCACACUUGGACUGAGACACGGCACAGACGCCUACUGGAGGCAGCAGGAGGGAAACUUCGGCAAAGGGGGGAACCCUGACCGAGCAACUGCGGGUGAGUGAAGUAGGUUUUCGGAUCGUAAAGGUUUGUUGUGAAGGAAGCGGUACUUAACCAGAAAGGGACGGCUAACUACGUGCCAGCAGCCGCGGUAAUAC
rnacentral:rRNA from 1 species